AUCCUGUCUGAAUAUGGGGGGACCAUCCUCCAAGGCUAAAUACUCCUGACUGACCGAUAGUGAACCAGUACCGUGAGGGAAAGGCGAAAAGAACCCCGGCGAGGGGAGUGAAAAAGAACCUGAAACCGUGUACGUACAAGCAGUGGGAGCCUCUUAAUGGGGUGACUGCGUACCUUUUGUAUAAUGGGUCAGCGACUUAUAUUCUGUAGCAAGGUUAACCGAAUAGGGGAGCCGAAGGGAAACCGAGUCUUAACUGGGCGUUAAGUUGCAGGGUAUAGACCCGAAACCCGGUGAUCUAGCCAUGGGCAGGUUGAAGGUUGGGUAACACUAACUGGAGGACCGAACCGACUAAUGUUGAAAAAUUAGCGGAUGACUUGUGGCUGGGGGUGAAAGGCCAAUCAAACCGGGAGAUAGCUGGUUCUCCCCGAAAGCUAUUUAGGUAGCGCCUCGUGAAUUCAUCUCCGGGGGUAGAGCACUGUUUCGGCAAGGGGGUCAUCCCGACUUACCAACCCGAUGC
rnacentral:rRNA from 1 species